rnacentral:tmRNA from 1 species
GGGGACGCGUGGUUUCGACAGGGGGUAGCAGAGCGGGAUUGCAGGCCGAGGUCCGCCCACCUCGUUAAACCGGCGGAACAAAAGUAACUGGCGAGCGCGAACUCGCACUGGCCGCCUAGAGCGGCCCGUCCGCCCUUCCCUCCCCUGAGGGGAAGGACCGGGCGCCACUCAAUCAGGGUGCGGCCCUAGCCCACGCCGAUCCGCGAAGGCCAAAGACCUUUUUCGGCUAGCCUGACC